AUUGAACGCUGGCGGCAGGCCUAACACAUGCAAGUCGAACGAGUGGCGGACGGGUGAGUAAUGUCUGGGAAACUGCACGAUGGAGGGGGAUAACUACUGGAAACGGUAGCUAAUACCGCAUACCAUCGGAUGUGCCCAGAUGGGAUUGGCUUGUAGGUGAGGGAACGGCUCACCUAGGCGACGAUCCCUAGCUGUUCUUAGAGGUUGACCAGCCACACUGGAACUGAUACACGGUCCAGACUCCUACGGGAGGCAGCAGUGGGGAAUAUUGGACAAUGGGCGAAAGCCUGAUCCAGCCAUGCCGCGUGUGUGAAUAAGGUCUUCGGAUUGUAAAGCACUUUAAGUUGGGAGGCGUUACCAACAGAAUAAGCACCGGCUAACUUCGUGCCAGCCGCCGCGGUAAUAC
rnacentral:rRNA from 1 species